rnacentral:rRNA from 1 species
CCCGCACAGGCGGUGGAGUAUGUGGUUUAAUUCGAUGCAACGCGAAGAACCUUACCUGGUCUUGACAUCCCGGAGACCCUUAGGAAACUAGGGGUGCUUCCAUCUGGAAGAAUCUGGAGACAGGUGCUGCAUGGCUGUCGUCAGCUCGUGUCGUGAGAUGUUGGGUUAAGUCCCGCAACGAGCGCAACCCUUGCCUUUAGUUGCCAGCAGUUCGGCUGGGCACUCUAAAGGGACUGCCGGUGUUAAACCGGAGGAAGGUGGGGAUGACGUCAAGUCCUCAUGGCCUUUAUGACCAGGGCUACACACGUACUACAAUGGCCGAUACAAAGGGCAGCGACACUGCGAGGUGAAGCCAAUCCCGUAAAAUCGGUCUCAGUCCGGAUUGGAGUCUGCAACUCGACUCCAUGAAGUUGGAAUCGCUAGUAAUCGUGGAUCAGCAUGCCACGGUGAAUACGUUCCCGGGCCUU